GAUCUGGCUCAGGAUGAACGCUAGCUACAGGCUUAACACAUGCAAGUCGAGGGGCAGCAUGUUGGUUGCUUGCAACCGAUGAUGGCGACCGGCGCACGGGUGAGUAACGCGUAUCCAACCUACCCUUGUCCAUCGGAUAACCCGUCGAAAGGCGGCCUAACACGAUAUGCGGUUCACAGCAGGCAUCUAACGUGAACGAAAUGUGAAGGAGAAGGAUGGGGAUGCGU
rnacentral:rRNA from 1 species